rnacentral:rRNA from 2 species
CUUGGCGGCCAUAGCGCGGUGGUCCCACCUGAUCCCAUGCCGAACUCAGAAGUGAAACGCCGUAGCG